GACGAACGCUGGCGGCGUGCUUAACACAUGCAAGUCGAACGCUGAAGCUCAGCUUUUGUUGGGUGGAUGAGUGGCGAACGGGUGAGUAACACGUGAGUAACCUGCCUCCUUCUUUGGGAUAACGCCCGGAAACGGGUGCUAAUACUGGAUAUUCACUGGUCUUCGCAUGGGGGUUGGUGGAAAGGGUUUUUCUGGUGGGGGAUGGGCUCGCGGCCUAUCAGCUUGUUGGUGGGGUGAUGGCCUACCAAGGCUUUGACGGGUAGCCGGCCUGAGAGGGUGACCGGUCACAUUGGGACUGAGAUACGGCCCAGACUCCUACGGGAGGCAGCAGUGGGGAAUAUUGCACAAUGGGCGCAAGCCUGAUGCAGCGACGCCGCGUGAGGGAUGGAGGCCUUCGGGUUGUGAACCUCUUUCGCUCAUGGUCAAGCCGCAACAAUGGUUGUGGUGAGGGUAGAGGGUAAAGAGGCGCCGGCUAACUACGUG
rnacentral:rRNA from 1 species